UACGUAGGUGGCAAGCGUUAUCCGGAAUUAUUGGGCGUAAAGCGCGCGCAGGCGGUUUCUUAAGUCUGAUGUGAAAGCCCACGGCUCAACCGUGGAGGGUCAUUGGAAACUGGGGAACUUGAGUGCAGAAGAGAAAAGCGGAAUUCCACGUGUAGCGGUGAAAUGCGUAGAGAUGUGGAGGAACACCAGUGGCGAAGGCGGCUUUUUGGUCUGUAACUGACGCUGAGACGCGAAAGCGUGGGGAGCGAACAGG
rnacentral:rRNA from 1 species